rnacentral:rRNA from 1 species
CGUGCUUAAUACAUGCAAGUCGAACGAUGAAGCCGGAGCUUGCUCUGGUGAAUUAGUGGCGAACGGGUGAGUAACACGUGGGAACGUGCCCUUCAGUUCGGGAUAACCCAGGGAAACUUGGGCUAAUACCGGAUACGUGCGAGAGCAGAAAGAUUUAUCGCUGAAGGAUCGGCCCGCGUCUGAUUAGCUAGUUGGUGGGGUAAUGGCCCACCAAGGCGACGAUCAGUAGCUGGUCUGAGAGGAUGAUCAGCCACAUUGGGACUGAGACACGGCCCAAACUCCUACGGGAGGCAGCAGUGGGGAAUAUUGGACAAUGGGCGCAAGCCUGAUCCAGCCAUGCCGCGUGAGUGAUGAAGGCCUUAGGGUUGUAAAGCUCUUUCGUCCGGGACGAUAAUGACGGUACCGGAAGAAGAAGCCCCGGCUAACUUCGUGUCAGCAGCCGCGGUAA